rnacentral:rRNA from 1 species
UACGGGGGGGGCAAGCGUUGUUCGGAAUUACUGGGCGUAAAGGGCUCGUAGGCGGCCAACUAAGUCAGACGUGAAAUCCCUCGGCUUAACCGGGGAACUGCGUCUGAUACUGGCAGGCUUGAAUCCGGGAGAGGGAUGUGGAAUUCCAGGUGUAGCGGUGAAAUGCGUAGAUAUCAGGAGGAACACCGGUGGCGAAGGCGGGUCUCUGGGCCGAUACUGACGCUGAGGAGCGAAAGCGUGGGGAGCGAACAGG